CAGGAGGAGUCCAAUCAGCAAGAUGUUACCCAGCUGACUGAAGAAGUGAAGCUGCAAUCUGUGCAUCAAGAUCAGCACUCACAAGUUGGAUUUCAGGGUGUUAAUAGAGCACUGAGCAGAAUUUUGGAAGGUGUCCAGCUCUACACCCCACCCAGAUGAAUACCUGGAAGCACACUGUUAACAUGGCUAUCCUGCCAGACCAAAAUCAAGCACGGAACAAAUGUUGAAAGGAUGCCCUCUGAAACAGCUGUAAUAUGUUGCAGGAGAAGACUCCCUACUUGUGAUGUCUAAGAUUUGAGUACGGUACCUCCAACGUACAACUCCUCAUUUAUGCCAGAGAAACCUCUAAAAUCCCUGGCUCCAAAACCACUGUUCAAGGCUUUCUGGUCCUGUACCAUGGAGUGAAGAGGCUGAGAUUACAGGUUCCCCAUUAAUCACCACUGGCCUUAUGGAUCUACAGUCAGGCCAAGAGUUUCUGGGUGCCCCACCUUCCUUAAAGCCACUCUCUUGCCCUGGCAUCCCAUGUACCCUCAGGAAAACUGUGUGAUAGUCAGUGUCACAGCUGAGUGGCAGAAGAGGGGUGGCAAGAAUUAAAGGAGAGUUUUCAUGCCAAGCUCUCAUCCCAGUCAACACACUGUGCUGUGACAUUGUCUGAAACAUGAUUUGGAUGGAAACCACGGCAAAGAAGACUCCCAAACCAGCAGACAAAACCAGCCCAAGGUGAAGGUCUGUGCUAAUUCAACAGCUUCCUUCCCAGUGCAAUCUGUCCCUCACCUGGACCCCUUUGCCCAAUGGAGGACCCGCUGUAACUUCUGUGCUGUGACACAGCAGUGUCAGGGGCAAUGCUGGACCCUGCUCCAGAGCUGGGCAAAAGCCUUACCUUCCUCACUCCUCUUCACCCACGGGAGGCCAGAAGGUGAGAAAGGCCAUCCCUUGGCUCAUUGCCUUCCUCUGUUUUCUGAGCCAAAGCCCUUCUCCAUGAGGGUGGUAGGGCUGGCUGAUUUGUCCUCUGUGACAGACAGGGUUAUAUCUCUGGAGACAAGGUUCCUCCCAGGUCUUCCUCUGUCACAGCUGGCUCCACAGAGGCCCUGCAUCAGCCCCCGUGUCUGGAACUGAGUCUGACUGUAUUGAUUUAGUAGUCCAUUGUCCUGUGGGAAAAGUGCUUAGUAGUAAAUACCAGAACAUGAUCAAUAGCACAGCAUCUGUGUUAGAGCUUCAAUGCCAGGCCCUGGGCUCCAGAAACACCACAAGCAGCACCACUGUGAACUGGGGUUGCCUGGUCAAUUGAAUGGAUCAAAGCAAGAAGCAUCAGGAAUAGGACAAGGAUGCACACUUAACCUGUUCCAGGUGCCUGCUGAAA